CCUACGGGUGGCAGCAGUGGGGAAUAUUGGGCAAUGGGCGCAAGCCUGACCCAGCAACGCCGCGUGAAGGAAGAAGGCUUUCGGGUUGUAAACUUCUUUUCUCAGGGAAGAAGAUAGCGACGGUACCUGAGUAAUCAGCCACGGCUAACUCCGUACCAGCAGCCGCGGUAAUACGUAGGUGGCAAGCGUUAUCCGGAUUUGUUGGGUGUAAAGGGCGGGUAGGCGGGAGCGCAAGUCAGAUGUGAAAUCUCAGGGCUCAACCCUGGAACUGCAAUUGAAACUGUGUUACUUGAGUGCUGGAGAGGGAAUCGGAAUUCUGGGUGUAGCGGUGAAAUGCGUAGAUAUACGGAGGAACACCAGUGGCGAAGGCGGACUGCUAGAAAAUAACUGACGCUGAUGCGCGAAAGCGUGGGGAGCAAACAGGAUUAGAUACCCGAGUAGUC
rnacentral:rRNA from 1 species